GCCCGCCUAGCUCAAUUGGCCAGAGCGUCAGACUUUUAAGGAGUACGCGGGGUCAAACCCGCAUACUUGGGCAUCUGAAGGCUGCGAGUUCGACCCUCGCGGUGGGCU
rfam:Jaapia argillacea MTCL 33604 unplaced genomic scaffold JAAARscaffold_3, whole genome shotgun sequence.